UUCNCUCAGCACAAGACAGCCUAUGAUUAC
rnacentral:piRNA from 1 species